AUUGAACGCUGGCGGCAGGCCUAACACAUGCAAGUCGAGCGGAUGAAGGGAGCUUGCUCCUGGAUUCAGCGGCGGACGGGUGAGUAAUGCCUAGGAAUCUGCCUGGUAGUGGGGGAUAACGUCCGGAAACGGGCGCUAAUACCGCAUACGACCUGCGGGAGAAAGUGGGGGAUCUUCGGACAUCACGCUAUCAGAUGAGCCUAGGUCGGAUUAGCUAGUUGGUGGGGUAAAGGCCUACCAAGGCGACGAUCCGUAACUGGUCUGAGAGGAUGAUCAGUCACACUGGAACUGAGACACGGUCCAGACUCCUACGGGAGGCAGCAGUGGGGAAUAUUGGACAAUGGGCGAAAGCCUGAUCCAGCCAUGCCGCGUGUGUGAAGAAGGUCUUCGGAUUGUAAAGCACUUUAAGUUGGGAGGAAGGGCAGUAAGUUAAUACCUUGCUGUUUUGACGUUACCAACAGAAUAAGCACCGGCUAACUACGUG
rnacentral:rRNA from 1 species